UACCAUCUCACAGGUUUUCUGGCCCAUCUGUGACAUUUAGGAGGACACAUGUAAAGGUGUCACUGGUUCCCUAAACACUUGAGUGCCUCUGCCAAGCCACGAGGGACAGAAAACUGGAGAAUUCAUAGUCCCCAGCAGAGCAAGAGGAAUGUACAACGUCGGGGGCCACACAACUCUAAAACAAGGCAAAUAGUGCUCGUGGGAGUUGUACAAUCUGGUCUGUACUGUCAAAGAAGAUAUGGUUUUGAAAGAAGAGCAGACAUGUAACAAGAUAAUUACAUGUACAUGGAAAUUACAUGUAAAUGGACAUGAGAAGGCAGAUACUUUACAAGGUAUAGUCUCUCCAGGAGAAAUGGUAACGCUAGAGAGGAAGGGGUAACCAGUCUCGGCACUGGGAAUUAGCAUGUGCAAACACACAAGUGCUCCAGAGAACAUGACAUAGGUCUCUUGGUUCACCAUGAUCCAAAACCUCACGAAAGUGGUAGUAAAGCAGGGGCAGUGGGUAUAAACCCACAAGGACAAAGAAUGGGAAAUGACGUAACAGUGGACAAAAGCUAUCAAUAAAGUUCUGGAAUCCAGAAAGUGGAGACAUGAUCACUGACCUAGAACAGCUGAGAAAACUAAAUAGGUUUUCAGUGUAUCCAGUCUACCACAGAGCUGGAACAGAAGUCAGGAUGAGACAAGAACAGGAAUUUAAGAAAACUUCAGAGGCUCUGCUGGCUUCCUCCUGCCCCACAUUCGGGCCAGAAGCAACGGGGCGGCCUUUCUUUCCUGACUUCUCGGAUCCCAAACUGGAGAGCUAG